GUCGGCACUCAGGGGCGGCCCGGGCUGGCCGGCCCCGCGCGCCCGGACCUGACCUACUUCGGGCACUCGCAGGCUCAGGGCCGAGGAGGAGCCCGCAGGCCGGGCGCCCGCGGGCCGGGGGGAGGGGGAGCUCUGGCCGCGGGGGUCCCGGCGCUCGGCUCGCCCCGCCCCCAAGCCCGGCAGCCGCGCCGGCAGCCUCGGGCCGCCCCCGCCUCCUCCUCCUCCGAGCGCCGGCUGCAGCUAGUUCCGACGGAGCAUGUUGCCGCAUUUCCCUCCCCGCCUCCCUCUCCACUCCCGUUUCGUGACUAGGCCUUACGUCACAGAAACCUGGGCAGACAGCGGAGCCAAUAGGAGCGCGAGAUAUUUAUAGCUCCGAAUUAAAGGUUCCGAGUUUGCCUAGCAACAGCGGGCAGAGAAUCCCGUGAGAAGAGCCACAGGCGCCGCUCCAAUAACAAAGAACAGCCGAGGCGGAAAUAAAAAAAAUAGGAGAAAAUCGGGCAUAGGCUCGGAAAACCAAACUUUUCUCCGAUGGCCCCAGAAGGAGAGGGGGCCGGGCGGUGGGGGGGAAGGAGAGAACGCUUUUGAAGGGCACGCCGCUGCACGCGGCCCCCGCAGACCCCACACCGGUGGGCCGGUCCGGGACUCCGCUCUAGGGGGAAGGGAGCCGGCAAGCUACAAAAUAACACGCCCAGGCGCGGGGCCUUAGCCCCCUUUCGUCGCAGGAGAACCCCACGUUAUGUAAAACCCUUACAUAAAAGGAGCAGAGGGCCUCAUCUCCAUCCGCCCAGCGGCUUACGAUGGACUAGGCUGGCGAAACGUGGAUCUGGUUUCUUUAAUCGUUCGCCCGGCAAUAACCCACAUCACCGUGAAAAUCGGAUGCACCAAUUCCACCCAUAUAACAGCUCUCGAUUCUACUGGAGUCCCCUAUAAUUUAAAUAUGCCAUCUUGGACUGCAUUUAUAUCCAUCAACACAUUACGUACCAUAGCUUGUUCGAUUUUGUUGUCAAUAGCGACCACACUUGCACCAGAGGAGCUAAGGAGAAAGGAAAAAGCAACCAUUAGUAACUGAAUUAUUUUUAAAGACUACACAAAUCUCACGAUAUUCCUUAUUUUUUAACUCUUCCCGCUAAGAUGCCUGCAUGAAGUGCAAAACAACAAUCCCCUUGCUCCUCUCCCCAGUAUUCCAACAUUUCCCUUUUAGUAAACCACAAAGAGCUAAAUUACAUAAUGCAGGGAAAGCCAAUUCCCCGAAAUUAAAGGCCUAAGAGGGGAAGGCCACUAAAAAUGCUCCAAAAAAUCCCUACAUGUAUGUCACCGCAGUUCUCAGCAUCAUCCAAUGCAAUGGACAAAGGACUCGGCGCUGAAAAAAUUCACCUGCAUUAUAACGAGUAAUUCGCUAGUAAACUAUAAAGAUCCUAUCACAGUCAACAUUUACCUGCUGUCAAGUCUCACAGAGGCGUUUUCAGUGCCCAGUAAAGACGACAAGAAAGAGAUCGAGAAAUGUCUUAGUUGAUAAACUCCUAGAUCCAUUGCCACUGAUCUACACCAUUGGGCUUUCAUGCAAUUGCAGCCAAAAAAAAACCCCACGAAAAAUAAAAUGCAAUGCCAGGCUCCUUGCUCGAGCUAUGUAAGAUCUUCUGGCCUUUCUGCAGAAAAGACGGCUGGUGCUCUGCUUUGAAAAGAAAUAAAUAACCCUGUGGCCGCGAGGCGUCGCGGACCUGGGAGGGAGCUGCUGCUGGACUCUGCCGCACCAACAACUCUCGCAGAGCAGCAGCGAGGUUCUGCUCUCUCGCUCGACUGAAGACCUGGUCUCCAGCCUCAGCGUAAAAUAUAUGCCGAGAACAGCAGCAGCUAUUGGCUGAGAGAGCACGGGGAACCGCCCUCCUCCACCUCUCCCUCCUUCCUCCUCCCGCUCCGGUCGCGGCCGCCCCACCCCCACUCCUCGGCAGUUCCUUUGGGAUAGGUCCGCUUCGGUAUCCCGCAGUGGGGUUGGGGGGGCGGGAGGGGGGGGAAUAACCUAAUACCCUAAUUGUCCUCCGAAACCCUAAGACAUUGCCAAGUUCAACCAAAAAGAAAACAGUAUUGGGGUUGAACCGUGGGGUCGGGGGCGCCCAUGUGCUUACGUUUAAGGCCGCGCUAGCUAGCUCGUCCAGCGCCGCGGGCCCGACUGCCCAGGCUGCCUCCGUGGGCCCCCGCCCCUCCCCCCGCUUGCCCGAGCGCCCACUGAGCAUGCCCAGCAGCGCGGCCUGCCGGCGGGGUUAGGCUGCCUGGAGCCCCACUCCGAGCGGCGGCGGCCCGGGGCUCGUGGCCCCUAAAGCCUGAUCCAACGGGGCCGGCCGGCCGGGUAAAGUCUAACUAGAAAGUCACCUCGGCCGUGGGGGAAGAGCGUCGGGCCCAGGCCUGAGGGGCGCCCCCCUCCUUCUUCCAGAGACUAUUUUCCCAUCACCUGCAAAAUUCCAGCUCUCCGAAGUCUCCGGACCGAGCCGCAAAGGAGAGGCGAGGGGGCUGCCGGACACAAAGGCCCGGGGCAGGCGGGGCCGAGGCCCUGCCCUGGGGCGGGAAGGCCGUGGGGGAGGGGGCUCCGAGGCCUGGAAUCGGCGAGCGCGAGGCCACCGCCUCCUGCAACCCCCUCCCUCCAGGCCCCUCUACCCCCGCCCCGCCGGACAGCCGAGGAAAGGCAGAGGUUUAAACGCUUGCAACUCGGUGUCAAAUUAGGGUCUCCCAGGCCCCCGGCCCCUCCUCCCAACCAAAAAGAAGAGAUGCUGGCUGGGGGAUUUUCACAAAACCGAGGCAGGAUGAACUUCAGUUCCUUUAUCGAUAUAAAAUAUCUGCAAACGUGCAUCCCACGGGAAACAAUUUGAUUUCCAGUUAAAUGUAAAGUGAGUUUGGAAAUAGAAACGGAUUACAAACUAAUCUGAGAGGCAAUAGAUUCGAAAGGCCGGAUUUCACUUUACAAUACUGCCCUCUACUGGCAAAAGACCGUAUGAACACAAACAUCACCCACAAAUGAGAUGAGGCAAGCUCAUGCCAUCAAAAAAUAAAGCCUCCUUAGAAAUGGGUCAACGUAACCACAAAUGCAUUUAAAAAGACAUUCCAGAAAACACGUUUGUGCUAUCCCCGUUCCCCCUUCAAAAAGGACCGAAGCAGCCUAAAAGAGCCGUGUGAAAGAAACUCUGCAGUGGGAGCCCACCAGUUUUAGCCAAAACGAACCCGUGCAGACACCUCCACUCUGAAAAGCCUCACAUGCUACUUAUGCAAAAUCCUACUCUGAUGCUUCAUCAUGAUGUGGAGGGAGAAUGACCUUCAGACUGGUACGGAGAGGACAAAAAUUCCUCAUAAGGAAUUAAAAGCCAAGAUAAAUUGCAAGAUAUUAAGACGGAUCCACUACAACAUAUCAAGCUCUGUAUUAGCGUGGAGUCCAAGAAAAAGUUUACAAUCAAGUAGAGUUAACCAUUUCAUAAGUGGUCAGUGCAUGAGUUACAAGAUCAACUCCAUUAACCAUCUCAGUGUCCUGCAAGAUUAUAGAUGAAAGGUAUCCCAGAAUAAGCCACAAUUCACUAGUCAUCGGCUACCAGAGGCACCCAUUGUGAAUACUACA